AGUGAACGCUGGCGGUAGGCCUAACACAUGCAAGUCGAACGGCAGCACAGUAAGAGCUUGCUCUUACGGGUGGCGAGUGGCGGACGGGUGAGGAAUACAUCGGAAUCUACUUUUUCGUGGGGGAUAACGUAGGGAAACUUACGCUAAUACCGCAUACGACCUACGGGUGAAAGCAGGGGAUCUUCGGACCUUGCGCGAUUGAAUGAGCCGGUGUCGGAUUAGCUAGUUGGCGGGGUAACGGCCCACCAAGGCGACGAUCCGUAGCUGGUCUGAGAGGAUGAUCAGCCACACUGGAACUGAGACACGGUCCAGACUCCUACGGGAGGCAGCAGUGGGGAAUAUUGGACAAUGGGCGAAAGCCUGAUCCAGCCAUACCGCGUGGGUGAAGAAGGCCUUCGGGUUGUAAAGCCCUUUUGUUGGGAAAGAAAAGCAGCAGGUUAAUACCCCGCUGUUCUGACGGUACCCAAAGAAUAAGCACCGGCUAACUACGUG
rnacentral:rRNA from 1 species